rnacentral:rRNA from 1 species
CACAGACUCCUACGGGAGGCAGCAGUGGGGAAUAUUGCACAAUGGGCGCAAGCCUGAUGCAGCCAUGCCGCGUGUAUGAAGAAGGCCUUCGGGUUGUAAAGUACUUUCAGCGGGGAGGAAGGCGAUAAGGUUAAUAACCUUGUUGAUUGACGUUACCCGCAGAAGAAGCACCGGCUAACUCCGUGCCAGCAGCCGCGGUAAUACGGAGGGUGCAAGCGUUAAUCGGAAUUACUGGGCGUAAAGCGCACGCAGGCGGUCUGUCAAGUCGGAUGUGAAAGUCCCGGGCUCAACCUGGGAACUGCAUUCGAAACUGGCAGGCUAGAGUCUUGUAGAGGGGGGUAGAAUUCCAUGUGUAGCGGUGAAAUGCGUAGAGAUGUGGAGGAAUACCGGUGGCGAAGGCGGCCCCCUGGACAAAGACUGACGCUCAGGUGCGAAAGCGUGGGGAGCAAACAGGAUUAGAUACCCGCGUACU